GCACUCCCCAGGGUCCGGGAGGGACUUGCAGAUCCCAAGGCUACCUGGGAUGGGGUCUCCCUAUGUUGCUGAUCGUCCCACCUCGGCCCCCCACUUCCUCCCGUCGGUCCUGUACUGUGACUGAAGGAAAGGCACGGAGGGGUCUCCUGACCUUUGCUGUUACCACGAACCCUGAAGUGGCCUCCCCUAUGAGAGCAUACAGGCACGAUUCCUAGAAGGAGAGUUGCUGAGUCAACAGGGACAAGUGUUGAAAAUGCUGACACAGGAGACUGCCCUCCAUGGGGCUGCACCCUUCUGACACUUCUCCCCACCCCUGGGGUAAGAUGGAGUAAGCAAGUUCCACCUGCCUCUCCUGUGGAAUGCAGCUAUAAAAUCUGGACGCAACUAAUGGAGCAGAUACUUGAGGUUUCUGAGCAGGAAAUAGCAGCAGGUGGAUUAGGAAAGACCAGUGAUAUGGUUUGGCUGUGUCCCCACCCAAAUCUCAUCUUGAAUUGUAGCUCCCAUAAUUCCCACGUGUUGUGGGAGGGACCUGGUGGGAGAUAAUUGAAUCACGGGGGCGGUUCCUCCCAUACUGUUCUCAUGGUAACUAGUAAGUCUCACGAGAUCUAACGGUUUUAUAAAAGGGGGAAACCACUUUUGCUUGGUUCUCAUUUUCUCUCUUGCCUGUCACCAUGUAAGACAUGUCUUUGCCUUCUGCCACGAUUGUGAGGCCUCCCCAGCCAUGUGGAACUGUGAGUCCAUUAAACCUCUUUUUCUUUAUAAAUUACCCAGUCUCAGAUAUGUCUUUAUCAGCAGUGUGAAAAUGGACUAAUACAACCAGAAUUCAAAGUACCACUGAAUGGCUAUGAGUUACCCAUUGGUUGUCCCCAGAUGUCUCUCGGUCUGGACAAGCUAUGACAAGACAUAGACAAGCUGAUUCUAAAAUGCAUAUGGAAAAGCAAAGACACU
rnacentral:lncRNA from 10 species